GAAAAACAAUUUUGACAUCCAUUUGGUUUACUAUUAAGUUAUAAAUAUCAUCAAGAGAUUUUAGUACCUUUAUGGAUGUUAUUCUUGUGGCAAGGAGAAAAACUUUUGAAGAAAUAUUUUUUUCUUUAUCUAAAACCCUUGGCUACAAGGUGAGCCUUUUAUUUAUCAAAAUUCCAUAAUGUUUUAGAUUCUUAUUCAAAAUUCAAUUACAACCCAUUGGUUUGUACUCAUGAGGC
rnacentral:lncRNA from 1 species